rnacentral:rRNA from 1 species
UUUUUGAGUAUAAUUUAAAGUAGGGCCUGCCCMCUGAAAUAUUUUAAAGGGCCGCAGUAUUUUGACUGUGCAAAGGUAGCAUAAUCAUUAGUUUUUUAAUUGAAAGCUGGAAUGAAAGGUUUGAUGAGAAAAUAGCUGUCUCUAAAUUAUGAAUAGAAUUUUAUUUUUAAGUUAAAAAGCUUAAAUAUUUUUAAAAGACGAGAAGACCCUAUAGAGUUUUAUUUAUUUUUAAAAAAUUAUUAAUUUAGAAUUUAAAAUAUUAUUUUUUAAUAAUAAAUUUAAUUGGGGUGAUUAAAAAAUUGAAUAAACUUUUUUACUUAUAUUACAUUAAUUUAUGAAAAUUUGAUCCAAAAAUUGAUUAAUAGAUUAAAUUACCUUAGGGAUAACAGCGUAAUUUUUUUUGAGAGUUCUAAUCGAAAAAAAAGAUUGCGACCUCGAUGUUGGAUUAAAAUUAAAUUUUGGUGUAGAAGCUAAAAGUUUAGGUCUGUUCGACCUUUAAAAUUUUACA